AGCAGCCGCGGUAAUUCCAGCUCCAAUAGCGUAUAUUAAAGUUGUUGUGGUUAAAAGCUCGUAGUUGAACCUUGGGCCUGGCUGGCCGGUCCGCCUCACCGCGUGUACUGGUCCGGCCGGGUCUUUCCCUCUGUGGAACCCCAUGCCCUUCACUGGGUGUAGCGGGGAAACAGGACUUUUACUUUGAAAAAUUAGAGUGCUCCAGGCAGGCCUAUGCUCGAAUACAUUAGCAUGGAAUAAUAGAAUAGGACGUGCGGUUCUAUUUUGUUGGUUUCUAGGACCUCCGUAAUGAUUAAUAGGGACAGUCGGGGGCAUCAGUAUUCAAUUGUCAGAGGUGAAAUUCUUGGAUUUAUUGAAGACUAACUACUGCGAAAGCAUUUGCAAGGAUGUUUUCAUUAAUCAGGAACGAAAGUUAGGGAUCGAAGACGAUCAGAUACCGUCGUAGUCUUAACAUAACUAUGACGACUAGGGAUCGGACGAUGUUAUUUUUGACUUCGUUCGGCUACCGUUACGGGAAACC
rnacentral:misc_RNA from 1 species